CAUGCGGAGAGGAGAGCGUUAGGAUGCGAGCGCAGACCGAGGACUGAGAACUGUUUGUCUUCCUUGUAUAAACGACAAUAUGAUGGUCGACCUUGAUUAGCGUGAUUUGGGUUUUGAUAGUUCACACGAGCGGAAUGUAGUGUCCGUGCAGUGUCUGCAGGUGCUUUGGUCAGUUAAGAUUUGUUCGAGCUGCCAGCUAACGUUCUUCGCUGUCUCAGGUCUCAGGAUGUCGCAGUGGGAGCGCUUGAAGCAGCUCGACUCGGUAUGUUUGCAGAGGGUGGAUGAGUUGUAUUGCAAAGAAGAGCUGCCAAUGGCGGUGAGAGACUAUCUGGCUCAGUGGAUAGAGGACCAAGACUGGGAAGGUGCAUCACGGGACACAUCCAGGGCAGUGGUCCUGUUUCAGGUUUUGCUGGAGAAUCUAGACAAUCAGUAUAGCCGUUUCGUCCAGGAAAGGUCCUUUCUCAUGCAGCGCAACUUCAGACGCUUCAAACAGAACUUUCAGAGGUACCAAGAAGAUCCAUGUACAUUGGCUGAAAUCAUCAACUGGUUCCUGACCAGUGAGAGAGAGAUUCUACAGGCUGCAGAGCUAGCACAAAAAGUGCAGAUGUUGCAGGUCCAGCAGAAUUCUAUGGAGUCAGAGAGUCAGAGACACAUAGAGAAGAAUGUCAGAGAGUUUAAGAACAAAAUUCAGAUGAUGGAGCAUUCAUUACGAUGCCUGGAGGAGCAACAAGAUGAAUUUGACUUCAAAUACCAGACACACAGAAUGGAUGGUACAACAGAUGAAGCAGAAAAAAAAGAGCAGAUAAAAGGACUGCAAGUGAUGCUCAACAUGCUGAAUAUCUCCAGAACGACUUUUCUCACAGAGUUGUCAUCUCUGUUGGAUUCUGCUGCAUCAAUCCUGGCUUCGCUUAUAGAGGAGCUUGAAGAUUGGAAACGCAGGCAGCAAGUCUCAUGUAUUGGUGCUCCUGAAGACAUAAAUCUAGAACCCCUGGAGAAAUGGUUCACACAGGUGGGAGAAGGGAUGUUUCAACUGCGCAAGUUUCUGGAAAAGCUGCAAGAGCUGCAUGAUAAGAUGACUUAUGAGGCAGAUCCCAUCAAAGAUCAAAAACCCAGCCUGCAUGUGCGAGUGGAUGCUCUGUUAACCGCCCUACUGAAGAGCGCUUUCAUUGUGGAAACGCAGCCGUCUAUGCCCCAGGGUCGAGGCCCUCUAGUACUACGUACAAAUGUUCAGUUCUCACUCAAAACCAGAUUGCUGUUUAAGGUGCCUGAACUCAACCAUUCUAUGAAAGUGACUGUGUCAAUUGACAAGGAUCCUCCAAAAGUGAAAGGGUAUCGCAAGUUCAAUGUUCUGGGAACGUCUACUAAGGCCCUGAACAUGGCUGAGAGCCUGCAUGGUGGUAUGGUGGCAGACUUCAGACAUUUGACUCUGAAAGAGCAGAAGGCUGGAGCAGGAGGAAAGGGGAUCAGUGAUCUGUCUUUGAGUGUGACUGAGGAACUCCACACUUUACACUGUGACACACAGUUUGACCUGCAUGGCCUCUCUGUCACUCUGGAGGCCUCCUCUCUCCCUGUAAUUGUGAUCUCUAAUUCCAGCCAGCAGCAAAGUGCAUGGGCAUCUGUCCUUUGGUUCAACACACUCUGCACUGACCCCAAGAACCUGAUGUUCUUCGCAAGCUCUCCUGUAGCAUCCUGGAGUCAGCUUGGGCAGAUGCUGAAUUGGCAGUUUCUGUCGUGUGGUAAACGUGGUCUGGAACAAGACCAGCUGGAGACUCUCGCUCAGAAACUCUUUGGUAUACAACAGAAUUAUGACAAUUGUAAAAUAUCUUGGACCAAGUUCAGUAAGGAGAACUUCAGUGGCACAAAUUUCACCCUCUGGGUAUGGCUGGAUGGAAUUCUAAACUUGGUCAAAAUGUACCUUGCAGAUUUGUGGCAGGAUGGGUCUAUCAUGGGUUUUGUAAGUAAGGGAAAGGAGAAGGUCUUGUUGAAGAAGAAACAGAGUGGGACUUUUCUCCUGCGUUUCAGUGAGAGCUGCAGAGAUGGUGGCAUCACAUUCAGCUGGGUGGAGUACUCUAACAGUGGUGAACCCAAUGUGCGGGCAGUGCAGCCGUUCACCAGCACGGACCUGAAGCAGAUCCCCCUUGCAGAAAUCCUGCGUAACUUUCAGAUCAUGGAAGCAGACAAUGCUCCAGUAUACCCACUUCAGUUCCUCUAUCCAAAUACCCCCAAAGACCAGGCAUUUGGAAAAUACUACAAUGAGAAGACUGGAGUGGAGAGUCCAUACUUUAAAUACAUUAAAACCAAGCUGGUCUUCGUUUCAAAAGAGAACGGGUGUACAAACAUGGCUGAGGGGCCAGUGUCUGACCUGUGCAUGCAGCACAAUGACCUUUCUUCUGAACUAAAUCAAGACGUCAUGCUUCAAGGGCCAGAGAAUUCACCCAUGUACAACUGCACAAGUGACCCUAUUUUACCCAACGGGGUUCUGGAGAGCUCUUUAAGUUGUCCACAAGAAGAAUUUUCAGGUGCACUGAGGUGUGCUCAGAGUUUACAUGACUUACCUGAAGGUCCUCUGAUGAGUGUUCCCAUAGAUGAAUCCCUUCUGGGAAUCAUUCCAGACGCAUUUUCUCCUGAUGCUGAUAUACCUGCGCUGCAAGAGUUUCUUAAUGACCCGAACAUCCUGGAAGGGUUAAGUGGUCCUCUGGAUCAUUCCUUCCAAGAGCUGGUUUAUCCCCUGCCCUUGGAAAGUGCAGAAGUAUUCAUUCCUGAAAUCGUUAAGAGCCAUUUAGGAGAUGAGAAGAGUGAGACGUACAGGUUUCUGUGCCCUUAUGCUGGUCAGUUUCAGUGUAAAUUGACCAACCUUGUUUUUGACAUGGAGGGGGAAGGGGAGGUUCUGUACAAAAUAGUCUCCUGGGAUAUUCGUCUGUUGGAUGGUUUAGGCCAGAUGCAGCCUGCAGGACCCCUGUAUGAUAUUGACUGCACUCAAGGUUCACUUAGUUAUCUGCACCUCCCACACUGCGAGAUACUUCAUGAGAAAAAUCCAGUUGAGCAGUCUGUGGCACAUUUCACUGGUGACAAUAUAGAGAUCAUGUCAUCGGUAAGAGUGACAGACAUGCAUGUGGUUAUUGGCAUCCAAAGCCUCUCUCUUUUUGGCCUUCUAAAAAACAUGAUAUUUGAAACCAGUCCCAUCAAUGCCCAAGUGCUACUGUUCCACAAGGAAAUGCCUGGCAGGAAAAAACUGCACAUCCACUUGUUGCCAGUGAACGUACCAGUUGAAGAGGUAGGAAAAAGGCACAAAGACAGCAUAUAUUUUGAGACAAGCUCCACAUGUCAACUGACCCCUGGUAGAAACUACAAACUGUCCUGUGACCCUUAUGUAUCGCAGCCAAAGGUUGGCAGAUUUGACUAUGACUAUGGCCCCAACUAUCAUCCUACAUUUGUGGUGUUCCUUCAUGCUGACUAUCUUACUGUAAGCCUUAUGGAUGAAGAUGGCACUGAGAUUUGGGAGCCACAUGAUAUCUUUCUUACCUUUAAAAAAGCUUGUGAAACAAGGCAUCUCGUAAAUACUCUUUGUGGAUGAAGUUCACAAGAAAUCCACUAGAAAUCUGACUGGUCAUUGAGUUCAUGUGUAAAUACAUCAAAUGUUAAAUUAAAAAAAUCCAGCUAUAUUUUAGUGGCACACGGCAUGUUCUAUGAGCUAUGAGCAUGUUCAUGCUGUUUCUAAUAGUCUCAUGUAAUUAGCUUUAGACCAUAGGAGACCCUAGAGAAGGUUGCACUUUGGAGGCCUUCAUUUGCCUUCUUACUGCUUUUGCUCUACACUCUAUAGCUUAAGUUAAAGGAUGUAAUAUGAUGAUUAGAAGAACUGCACUUUUACAGCAAACUAUAGUUGAGGCAGAUAAUGCGGAACAUUGUAGAGAAAGAAAAUUGUACAGAGUAAAAUGACUAAUAUUGGCGUACCUGCAUCACUUGCAGCUGCUCUUUUUAUGUGCUGUUCUCCUGAACCAUCGUAACAUUGUUAUUGUUGUUAUUAUUAUUAUUAUUAUUAUUAUUAUUAUGUGCUGCCAAGUUGAUUCUGAAUCCUGGCAACCAAUUUGGAUCUCCAGAAUAUCCUGUCUUCUAUUUUAGCCUUUGGACUUCUAAACAUUAUUGCAUCUUGGCUGGAGGGGGUUGGGCCCUAAGAGGCCCAUGUAGAAAUGCUUUGCCUUGGACUCAUCAUCUCAUCUUACCUUAAGAGAGUGGGGGCCCACCUUAAAUCAGUGAUGGUAAUUAGUUUUAAAACCAGUGACACCCAAUUAACAUAUGCAGUAAGAAAAAAUUAUUCAUUUGCUCUUUUUGUUGGAAACCCAAGGCCAGUGGUCACCAAUGCUGCUCCUGGAGAUCUGCCUUCCUGCAGAGCUCAGCUUCAUCCUUAAUCAACCCCACCUGAUCAAUUUAAUUGGUCUCUCCAGAAGUCCUUGAUUAGCUGAAAGAGGUUUGUUGGAUUUGGGUUGGAAGUGAAACCUGCCUAGAAGUUAGAUCUCCAGGAGCAGGAUUGGUGACCACUGCUCUAGGCAACUGCCUAUUGUGCCUGUAGCUCACACUGGCCCUGCAUUUCUUUUUUCUUUUUUUUUUUACUAUUUUAUUGCCAGUUAAGGUUAAAAUGGGUGUGGAAAUAUGUUUGAAGGUGCUCAUACACAAAACUUUGUUCCCACUAAAAAAAUCGUAGUAGGCAAUCAACCCAGUUUCAUUGCUUCAGGUCACAGCGCAGAGGCAACCCUGUAUGGAGUGGACACUGCGGCUGAGUUUAUAGAUAAACACAGAGAAAAGCUCAUUCAGAGAGUUUCCUCAGUACUGGAGAUUGCAGACUGCCUAAAAAGCAAAAAUAUGAUUAGUGAUGAAGAC